rnacentral:lncRNA from 1 species
GCAGAGGGGCAGAGAAAUGGAACUGCAGAGGUCAGUGAGGGCCAGUUCAUAAAGGGCCAGGAGUUCAAGCUAGGGAGGUAAAUGGUUUCCCUUAGGGAAAAGGGGAAACCUUUGAAAGUGGGAAGAAGAAAAGUUGCUAGGGUGAGAUGGGGAGGAGUGAGCAGGUUUGAGAACUAUUUUGCAAGUCAAUUCAGUUUUACUGAGUGUGACCCUAGGAGUUAGGGUCUCAGGGUGUUAAUGAAUGAUUUGGAUCUGGAAUGUCCCCUAAAAGCUCAUGUAGAAAACAUAGUCCCCAAUGCAGCAAGAUUGGGCUGGGGGUCUAGCUGAGUGGCAGAACACUUGCCUAACAGGCCCUGGGUUCAAUCCCCAGUGGUGCCAAUCCCCCACCCCCUACCAAAAAAAAAAAAAAAAAGUCAAGAAACCCAGUGCACCAAUGUAGCAAGGGGAUAUGGGGCAAUGAUUGUAUCGUGAGGACUCUAACUUCAUCAGUGGAUUAAUCAAUUGAUAGAUGAAUACAUUCCUUGCGGGGAGGCAGACAAGUUGGAAGAAGUAGAUCACUGGCAGUGCCCUGGGAGGGUUUGUCUUCUCUCUGCCCCCCUCCUCUCUUUCUCUCUCCCUGCUUUCUAGCUGUUAUGAGCUACCACACCCUUCUGCCACAAUGUUUCUGCCUUGGAACUGGUUGACAAUGGACUGAAUCCUCUGAAACCAUGAGCCAAAAUAAACCUUUACUUCUCUAAGUUGUUUUUGUCAGGUAAUUUUGUUAUAGUGACAAAAAGCUGACUAAUACACAGGGGUGGGAGGUGCUCCCAGACCCUGGUUUCUUCAAUUGUACAGUGAGAGAAAGGAGCAAAAGAUUUAAAAGGUCUCUUUCAACUCUUGACUGGGGAGAAAUUCUCUUCAGUCCUUCCCUCAAUCUCUCUCAGCAAUUGACCUCUCCUGUUUGUCUUCUAACCCCCACCCC